AGUGAACGCUGGCGGUAUGCCUAACACAUGCCAGUCGAACGGCAGCACAGUAAGAGCUUGCUCUUACGGGUGGCGAGUGGCGGACGGGUGAGGAAUACAUCGGAAUCUACUUUUUCGUGGGGGAUAACGUAGGGAAACUUACGCUAAUACCGCAUACGACCUACGGGUGAAAGCAGGGGAUCUUCGGACCUUGCGCGAUUGAAUGAGCCGAUGUCGGAUUAGCUAGUUGGCGGGGUAAAGGCCCACCAAGGCGACGAUCCGUAGCUGGUCUGAGAGGAUGAUCAGCCACACUGGAACUGAGACACGGUCCAGACUCCUACGGGAGGCAGCAGUGGGGAAUAUUGGACAAUGGGCGAAAGCCUGAUCCAGCAAUACCGCGUGGGUGAAGAAGGCCUUCGGGUUGUAAAGCCUUUUUGUUGGGAAAGAAAAGCAGCAGGUUAAUACCCCGCUGUUCUGACGGUACCCAAAGAAUAAGCACCGGCUAACUUCGUG
rnacentral:rRNA from 1 species